CGGGUCGUCAAGCAAUAUCCCGAGCCGACGCGCGGCGAGUCCCGCGUACUCCAAACCAGCUGGCUGUCUGGAGCUUAUUAUUAUGCUGUCCGACGGGAUCCCAGGCGGUUGCGCCACCUCGGCGGUGAUCGCCGCCGGCGCCCUAUCCCUCUCCUUCCGCCGCACCGUCGUGAGCCUUCGCCUCCCGACGCCGCGGCUCUCGCCGCCGCCGCUCCGGCGGCACCUCCCCAUCCAUGCUCUCGCUUUGAAGCGCAACCCCAAACGCUUGAAAUACUCCGCUCCGCGCUUCUUCAAGAAUGGGGAGAGGAUGGUAUACGUGGAGAUGGACACCGGAGCCGAUAGUUGGAAGCUGGAACCCGUUAUCAAGGUCAUCAAAGAAGGAGGCGUCGGUGUGAUCCCCACCGAUACAGUGUAUGCUAUGGUUUGUGAUCUGAAAAGUCAUUCCUCCAUCGAACGCCUUCGCAGAAUCAAAGAAGAGGACUCAAAGCCCCUCAGUAUUUUGUGCCGCUCGUUUCAAGAUAUAGAUACUUAUACAACGGGUUUCCCACGUGGUAAUGCUCAAGGUCAACCAAAUAUCUUUCGAGCUGUAAAGCAUUGUUUGCCUGGGCCAUAUACCUUUAUUCUACCUGCAAGCAAGCAACUGCCAAAACAAUGCAUAAAGCCCGGGAUGGCAGCUAAACACGCAACAAGGAAGCAUGUUGGUGUUCGUAUUCCAGAUGAUUCUAUUUGUCAAGCCAUAUUGCAAAAUUUGGAUGCACCUUUGGUUUGCACAAGUGUAAAGUGGCCUGAAAAGGAUCAGUGGAUGUUAGAUCCUGUUAUCAUUGCAGAUACCUAUGAGCCAGAGGGUCUUGAUUUUGUUGUUGAUGGUGGUGUUAGAGUGGCUGAUCCAUCAACGGUGGUUGAUAUGACUGGAGCUUAUCCAAAAGUCAUUCGGCAAGGAAAGUGACUGUCACCGGAAAGUCCUGCCUUUUCAUAAAAAGAACGUCUUAGAAUGGUGCAGGGUGGUUGUUACGAGCAUAGGUGACGAGACGGAGGGAUAUAUAUUUAUUAUUCAUGAAAGAUGUUUUGAUUGAGUUCAGGGUCCAAGGCUGGACUGGAUGGUGGUGGAAGGUGAAGACACUGCAGCGCAAGAGGAGUUGCCUUUUCUUCAAGCAGCUUGACGGUAUCUCCAACUAACCAAAUACAACAACCAAUCUUUGUUCUUGAAGUUGACUACACGAGGAUAAACCUCUAAAUCUAAAGGACUGAGCAUUUUGCCAUGGAAGGAACGAAAAAGAGAAUCCUGUAAAUAUGCUGAUGUAGAUGCCUAGUUGGUUAACCAGUAGUCUCUGAUUUGAAACCAACAGACAUGAUAUGUUUCCAUACGUUGUUCUCACCUAUGUUAUAUUCAUGAUACUGCGUAUGGCUAAUUUGAAUGAACAGAUACCUCAUGGCCUCCUAGUAUUCA